rnacentral:rRNA from 1 species
UACGUAGGGGGGCUAGCGUUGUCCGGAAUCAUUGGGCGUAAAGCGCGUGUAGGCGGUCCGGUAAGUCCGCUGUGAAAGUCGGGGGCUCAACCCUCGGAUGCCGGUGGAUACUGUCGUGCUAGAGUGCGGAAGGGGCUACUGGAAUUCUCGGUGUAGCGGUGAAAUGCGUAGAUAUCGAGAGGAACACCUGCGGCGAAGGCGGGUAGCUGGGCCGACACUGACGCUGAGGCGCGAAAGCUAGGGGAGCGAACGGG